GUGUGUGUGUGUGUGUGUGUGUGUGUGUGUACAUACACAUAUGAAAGGAUUGAUAACAAUAAAACCCUCUUAAUAUCGCUCACUCAAUUUUCAUUUUUCUCAUUUAUAAUUAUCUAAUAAUCCUAAGGUAAUUUCCAGUAAGUUAUAAACUUCAAAUCUCCCCAGUCUACAUUUCUAAUAAAAAAUACAAAGAUAUAUUCCCAUGUUUUAUGCUAUGUCUAACCCUUAUCUCUGAAUCUCUCGGCCUUGUCAUUUCUUUUAGUUUUAGCCAGCUUUUCCUUUGCUAAGUUUUUCUGGCCUUUCCUCUUUAUCUCUCUUUUUUUCUCUAAUAUUACUUUUAUUUCCAUCUGCCAAUCAUCCAUCUUUCCUCCCACCCUUCCCUUUUCUCUUUUUUGAAAUUUCUUCCUGUACAGCUUCUUCUUUUGUUUACUCUUGGGAACGUUUUCUCUUUUGUUUAUUAUCUCUGUCAUCAAUGUCUUAGUUUUAAUUCUUUUUGUGUCUUUUGGCAAUGUCUCUAAAUCUUCAUGUCCAUCUGGUCUGUUUUCUUCUUCCUUUGACUCCUCCUCUCUAGGGUUCCUUUGUUCUGCUAUAAAUUGCAUUACUUUUUCUGCCAGUAUGACCAAUAGUCACCUUCUUUCUUUUAACAUUUCUUUCACUGUUUGCAGUUCCAGCUUAAAUUAUUUGCUUGCUUCUUCCGUUUUUUUAAUCAGUUGAGUUAUUCUUUAUCUUAAAGUUAAUUGUAAUCCUUGCCAAGAGACUCAGUUUGUUUCUCUUUUCCUUAUUGGUCCUUCUAUUUCCUUUGCACAGUCAACCCCCAACAGUCCCAAGAUGUUAUCUUCAUUUAUCCUCUUGCUGUAAUCUCCCCCUGUUUCUUUUAAGCUUCCAGGAUUCUUGUUGUGAUAAAGUCUUUUAUUUCAUAUCUUUUCUCAUUCAUGCAUUUAAAAGACCAGUAAUUUUCCAUAAAGUCAUCCAGGAAAAAAUGUCUUGUACCAUUAGGUGGCGCUCUAUAUCGCUUCCAAUUUUCAAAGUUCUUUUUUUCCCUUUUUUCAAUUAUACUAAUGUUAAUUUUCAACCAUUUCAACCAUUGGCUUUUUUAAAAAAGUAUAAUCAAUUUCAAGCAAGUUCAGCAUUUUAUCCAAUGCCUAAUUGAUGCCAGGUUCUGUAUAUUAUUCCCAAUUCCAUCCUUAAUUUCGCUUUAGCUCCUUUGUAGUCCAGUUUUUUAUUUACCUUAUAUUGUCCUCUUGUUUUCCAUUCGCCACUGUUAAACUCUCAAGUGAGGAAUCUUUCUUUCUGCUUUUCAGGGUUAUUGAAACAAAGAAAACAGUUUCUCUUAUAUGGAUACACACUGCUCACUACUUCACCGCUCCAGCACACACUUAAGUCCCAAUAGCUUCCCGUCUUCAGGGCAGCCAUUAAAACUGCUGCUUAUCCCUAUCUUGCAGAGGAGUAUACCAAGCCAGGGAGGGGAGAUGCAGCUCCCCUCACCUUGGCUGCCGGUCUCCCUCUCCUUCCCCACCCCUCCGAGGUGGGUCUGCUGGUUCCGGUCCCGUCCAACAGGGUAAGCACGGAUUGAAGCUGUGCACAAUCACGGUCUCCAUCCGUCCUCAACAGAAGUGCCACCAGAAGUCAGACAUUUGUAUUUCUAUAACUGCCUGCUUUGAAGGAAGGAAGGCUGAG